rnacentral:rRNA from 1 species
UACGUAGGGGGCAAGCGUUGUCCGGAAUCAUUGGGCGUAAAGCGCGUGUAGGCGGCCAGAAAAGUCCGCUGUGAAAACUCGAGGCUCAACUUCGAGCUGUCGGUGGAAACUUUCUGGCUAGAGUCCGGAAGAGGAGAAUGGAAUUCCUGGUGUAGCGGUGAAAUGCGCAGAUAUCAGGAGGAACACCGAUGGCGAAGGCAGGUCUCUGGGCCACUAACUGACGCUGAGGAAGCGAAAGCAUGGGGGAGC